rnacentral:snRNA from 1 species
AGCUUUGUGUAGUGGCAGAAUUGUAGUCAAUGAGGUUUAUCCAAGGUGUGAUUAUUGCUAAUUGAAAACUUUUCCCUCUGUUAC